rnacentral:rRNA from 1 species
UACGUAGGUGGCAAGCGUUGUCCGGAUUUAUUGGGUUUAAAGGGUGCGUAGGCGGUCCUAUAAGUCAGUGGUGAAAUACGGCAGCUCAACUGUCGAGGUGCCAUUGAUACUGCAGGACUAGAGUACUGAUGAGGUAGGCGGAAUGGACGGUGUAGCGGUGAAAUGCUUAGAUAUCGUCCAGAACACCGAUAGCGAAGGCAGCUUACUAAAGAGUAACUGACGCUGAGGCACGAAAGUGUGGGGAUCAAACAGG